CUUAUCAAAUAUCAGGGACUUUGUAUGUCUACUAGAAAAUAUUUGGAUGUAUUGUGUGCUUUAUUAUAAAAUGGGUGAAACUUCAAAGAUCCAGGAUAGGGUGAUAAUCUUGUUUGAGACAACAGUGGGACUAACAGGUUGUGUUGGGAGAUAAGCUCUGUCUCUUCAUAACCUUACUAUGACACUACAGCAUAAUUUAAGACCUAUGUGAAUUUUUUAUCAUGUAGCUCUUAUGUUUUAUAUUUGAUUUGAUGUGCUCACGCAAACUGCUUCAGGCAUUGGACUGCUGACUCGUGAGUUUUGUUUGGUUGUGGGACAAAAACAAAGUCAAUAUCCAAUAUAUAAGCAAAAAAGGUCAAAAGAUUGUUGCAUUGCAAAACUCUCAAAGCCUUUCCAAAAAUAUACACAUCCACUCAGCUUGUUCCUUCUUUGGCCACCCGUUCCUCUUUAGCGAUAAGGAGUUACCCUCAUGCGUCCUAUUGAUGUUGUGGUCUCAGUUGCUCAAGGUUAUUUGGUCAACUAUGUCUCAGCUGGGCUUUACUCUGUUGACUUUGUGAAGUGAGUUGCCCUUGGAUCCAUGGCAGGUUAAACAUUAACCGAUCUGCAUUUGUUCUGUCCUACUUGCAUCUGUUACACUCCGUCCGAUCACAGAAAUAUUCUUAAACCCAGGGGAUCUGUUUUGAACAAAUAUCAGAUGUUUUUCUUUUCUACCGCCUCUUAACUAGCAGGGGUGCUCUGUCAAGUCAGCAGAGUUCUUCGACAUGCUGGAAAGGAUGCAGGAUGACUACAUCCCUUACCCCCGGAUUGAGGAUGUCCUGGAGAAGGGUGGUCCCUACCCUCAGGUUAUUUUACCUCAGUUUGGUGGAUAUUGGAUUGAGGAUCCCGAGGCUCCGGUCGGGACGCCCACAUCCUCAGACAGCAGCUUCUGUGAGGAGGAGGAGGAUGGUCUGAGUCCUGGUGGAGGAGGAGGAGGAGGAGGAGGAGGAGGAGGCUUCAGCUACAGGCUGGAGUGUAACAGCAUCUCACGGGCUUAUCGCAAACACUUUCUGGGCAAGGAGCACAUGAACUAUUACUGCACAGGCAGUAGUAUGGGACACCUCAUCAUGUCUCUGAAGUAUGAGGAGGCAGAUGGACAGGAGUCACUCCGCAUCAUGCUCAGGUCAAAAACAAAGACCCUUCAUGAGCGAAUCCCACUAGAAGGCCUCCUCCAUCUACCCAGCGUACCACAGAUAGCCAAGCUGCUCUGCGAUGACGUCACCGGUCUGAAGUUCAACCCCGUCCUCUACCCUAGGGCUUCGCAACUGAUCGUCAGUUUUGAUGAGCACGAAGUGAACAACACUUUCAAGUUUGGAGUCAUCUAUCAGAAGUUUGGUCAGACGACAGAGGAAGAGCUGUUCGGGAACAAUGAGGAGACGCCAGCCUUUACUGAAUUCCUCAGUGUUUUAGGAGACAAUAUUGAACUGCAGGAGUUUAAAGGGUUCAGAGGCGGUCUGGAUGUGUCUCAUGGGCAGACCGGAUCUGAGUCUGUCUAUACCACGUUCCGUCAGAGAGAAAUCAUGUUUCACGUUUCCACAAAACUCCCUUUUACAGAAGGAGACAUUCAGCAGCUCCAGAGGAAGAGACAUAUUGGCAAUGACAUUGUUGCAGCCGUCUUCCAGGAAGAGCCCACACCAUUUGUUCCUGAUAUGAUCGCAUCCAACUUCCUUCAUGCCUACGUGUUAGUGCAGGUGGAAAACCCCUGCACUGAUCACACCAUGUACAAGGUGUCCAUCACAGCCAGAGAGGAUGUCCCUCCGUUCGGCCCCCCUCUUCCAAACCCUGCGGUCUUUAAGAAGGGUCCCGAGUUCCGGGAAUUUCUCCUGACAAAAUUGAUCAACGCAGAAAAUGCAUGCUGCAAGUCAGACAAGUUCGCCAAGCUAGAGGAGAGGACACGGGCAGCACUGUUAGAUAACCUUCACGAUGAACUGCACAGACAGACACAGGCCACAGUUGGACUGGGAUCAACUACAGAUGAAGAAAAGCUAGAAAAUGGAGGUCAUGGAGGGCUGCUGGAGUUUUCAAAUAAAUGCAGCCUUGUUGGUUUGCAGACACACACAUACACUGCAGUGUUGAUCUGUAUAGCAGCCGUGACUGUGUAUCAUACCAAGUCAAACUGA
ensembl:lncRNA